rnacentral:ncRNA from 1 species
CAUCGAUCGGUUCAGAUGCGACCAGCCUCGAGAAUACUUAAUAAUACGGUGGAACAUUUAUAAAAAUACACCUAUCCUGAGCACACACAAGGGAACCGUAGACAACAAAACGGUACAUGUACCCGAAACCGACACAGGCGGGUAGGUAGAGAAUACCUAGGGGCGCGAGACAACUCUCUCUAAGGAACUCAGCAAAAUAGCCCCGUAACUUUGGGAGAAGGGAUGCCCCACACAAAAGGGGGUCGCGGUGACCAGGCCCGGGCGACAGAUUACCAAAAACACAAGUCUCAGCAAAGUCGUUCGAAUUAGACUGUAGCUAUAAUCAAUUUUAGCGUGAAUUAUCUGGAGGGGAAGUCUACCCUUUUUAAUGAAUUCGGUAUGUGUAAUUUCUUUCCUCCGAGACGACCGACAAUUUUUAGUUUUACUACCCUUAUAUCUUCUUUUUUAGUCAAUUCAAUGGAUUUUUUCAUUGCAUUCCGGAAUGAAA